UAUUUCCAAAUUAAAAGGCUCCCAGUAAACUACAAAAUGUGGAUACACCAGCACAAGGUAAUAGAAUGGCUACAUUUAAUUAUAAUGUUUACAUUUAUCAAAUGUUAACUUUUUCAGCAUACACACAAAUGCAAUAAGAAAUGAAUGUAACAUCAGGUGUGUGAGCAUCAAGUCCCUCCCCUCAAAAGAUCAGCCUGGCACUAGUAAUUUUGUUUUCCAGGUGUUUCUGCAGUUCUAGAAAUGGAAAUCACCAGUGGGAGGUUGGCAGGAAGCCCUCUCAUUCGUCACCCCAAGUGGUGGGCCUGGUGCCCUCCAUCGGCCUGCCCUGACAGCCACCUCCCAGUGCCCAGAGGGGAAACCAGUCUUGCUUGGGCUAGUGGCUGAGUGUUGCAAGCCCACGACGGACUGCCCACGCCAUGAAUGAUGCAAGUGGUUGGUGGUCCUUUCUCUUGACCCUGGUUGUCAUGUCUUGAAGAUUGUAAUAUUUUGAAGGCAGGAGCUAGACUUACUUGAAUCAACACUGGAACCCCAACACAGAGCACUGGAUAUACUUCCCAGGGGUGGACACUGAGGCUGAGUCUAUCAAACAUGCUGUGAAGGAGUGUCCUUGCACCAGUACCACUGGAAAGGAGAGAACAGAUGCAGGAGUGGACAAAGGGAGAACCACACAGCCUCAGCCAACCCAACAGGGCGCUCCAGGCCUAGACCUGCCCUUCAAGGUUGUCCUGGGGCCUGGAUGCUGGACCUCCAUCCAUCCAAGGAUGUGGGCCAACCUGGAAAGGGCCUAUGGGACUUGGCCCAGGCAGCUCUCUUCAGCUGAGGCAGUUGCCGUCACAGCAUCCAUCACACUUGUGAAGAGUCUCUGCGUGUCAGCAUACCUGCAUUUCAUCUGAGAGAGAGACCAGGAGACUCUGCUCCCAUUGACUAAUGUUGGGAUCACAGUGGUUCCUUGGUGCUUGAAAUAAGUGGGUAAGUGGGUUUUUAUAAUCCUCUGAGAUCCUUGGGGAAAGUGUCCAGACUGAGACAUGUGAGAAUCUUGGUAGACUGUUGGGAAUUUCCUGCCCCCUUGAAUCAGUAUAUUUGUUCAAUCAAGAUUCAACUUUAAUUUGGAGGAGAAGCUGAAAACUGGAAUAGUGAGUAGAAGAAUAGAGAAGGAGGACUGCUGGUAGAAACCUCAAAAUAGGGAGAAUAUUGAGAUACUGACUACCCUAAAAUGACAAUUAUUCACUACUGAAAUCAUGGCCCUUAUGGAUCAGAGUCACAUCUUCAGGAUCAUUUUACAGGAUUCCUUUAACUGCACAUUCUACUUUCCUGAGAAGAGUUUUUAAAUUGCAUGUUGUCCUCCAUCUCCUUAAGUUUUCAGUGACACACCAGCACCCAGUGAUGUUUUAGCAUACCUUUGCUUAUGUGUUGGUGCUCCAUGCAGCUACCUGGCAGGCCCACUCCCUAACCUUCCUCUUAGUGCUUUGAGCUCAGCAGGGAUUGGAUCAGAAUUUGUUGAAAGUUCAGUGUCCCCUUCUUUGAGACUCUAGGGAGAUGGGUAUGAAAUAUGAUAACUUAUUUUCACUAAAGAGCAUUAAGCCCAGGAGAAACCUUUCUUGGCCUGCCUCAAAGGCUGGGGUGAGUGUCUGUAUGUUAUGAGUAGGGAGACUGAGACAUGGGAUUCUGAAAAGGAAACUUCAGUGAAUGAAAUCAUAGGAAAGAAUCUGGGUGACUCCAUCAAGUCCCAAACAGCUGCCAACUUCUCAAGGUUAACACGCUGAGAAGGGCUAGAACCACUUGGCUUUCUGUUUCUUUCCCAGGGAUAUGGAUCUUGGAGUCUGUGAAAAUAGCUGGUGAGCAGAGCAGAGCAGAGCAGAGC
ensembl:lncRNA